ensembl:processed_transcript Gm16091 predicted gene 16091
GUGCUUCCCGCCUUCGCUGCCCGGCAGCAGCCGCGGCCGAAGCGCAGGAAGUUCCCGUGGUAAUGCUUCCGAGGAGGGUUUUCUGCGGUGCAAAAGUGGCGCUGCUUAAGAUGUGCCGCAGACUCGCUCCUCGGCCUUGGCGCCCACCAUUGGACCUACUUAGGUGCUGCACUGGCAAGCCGGCCAUUGGCCGUGGGCGAUUCCAGGGCCUCAGCGCGGAAAAGGACCAUGUGGACCUCAUUUUUCUUUUGGUAAAGAGAGUUUAAUCUGUGAGAGACAACCAACUGCCCACCUUCAUCCUGGUCAUGGCCAAAGGCACCCGACUCCAGCUCAAAGAUGAGGUGGCAAGAACAGAAGAUGAAGAUGGCCUGUUGUCAUUUCAGAGUUAGGCACAUGGGGAAAAGGCUAAAGUGGGUUCCCUGGAGCUCCUAGGCACCAGAGCCAGUUCACUUGGAGAUGGCCAGGAGCCAAGGUGACACCCACAGCUUUCAGAGAGAGAGGUCUUGUCACUGAGGGAUGGCUCACAUCCUUGCUGAUAGCUAUUUACCUGAGCUUUUGGGCACUCUUGUCUAGAGGGUGGUGUCCCCAGGAAGGGGGCUGAAGAAAUAGGAUGGAGAUAGACAAACAAAAUAGUGAGACGUCAGUAUGAACGAAGGCAAAGUUGAGCCCCGUGUCAAACAGGUCUGGGCUUCUGAACAGGAGUAGCCUAGGUGAGCCCUUGAAAUAAAAGUGAGCUGGGCGUGGUGGCACACACCUUUAAUCCCAGCACUUGGGAGGCAGAGGCAGGGCUAGCCUGGUUUACACUAUAAGACCCUAUCUCAAGAUAACCCCCACUACAAUCACCCUUGGGCUUAGUCACCCUUUGGAAUGGAGCAUUUUCCCUUAUAUGGCUAAAGAUCU